AUGGGAAGGAGUUUGAGUGUCCAUGCCUCACCGGGAAAUAGACCCUGAUUUCACAGCCUCUUCAAAGGCACUACUUUGCAAAGAUGCUGCUCCAAGGACCCCUUAAUCCAUGAUCCCCCAAGCCAGCACCCUACUUACUGCUUCACCUGCUAGCAUCAGUCUCUGUAGGCAUGCCCAGCUGAACUGUGGGUGGUUAGAUGACCUGCUCAUCAGCUUCUUUACUCCUGGACUCCCAUAGUCUCUCAUUUCAGAUUCUGUAGGAAAUGUCCACUAUAUUAUGUUAUUUUUAUUUGGUUUUUGUUUUGUUUUGAGUCUAUAUAGCUUUCUGACUGUCCUGGAACUGUCUCUGUAGACUAGGCUGGCCUCAGAUUCACAGAGAUCUGCCUGCCUCUACCUCCCCAGUGCUGGGAUUAAAGGUCCCACCAUGCCCAGCUUUUGCUUUGUUUCUGGUUGUGAUAGAGAAGGGACCCAGGGUCCAUUCUUGUUAUCCAUCAACUGUAUUCUUAAGUUCCUAGUCUGUUCCCAACCCCAGCAGGUCAUUUCAGCAGGUCUUAGCACAUGUUUUUGUUCGGUUUGCUUGUGUAUUUGAGUCAGGGUCUCAAAGGUAGCCCAGAAUGACCUUGAACUCAUGGUGCCUCGGCUUCCGGUGAGCUGAGAUUAUAUACCCAGCUUUGUGCAAUGUUUUUUAGAAAGUGAAAUGAAUUUAAAUAUCAGGGAACGAAUAUA